rnacentral:rRNA from 1 species
CCUACGGUGGGCAGCAGUGGGGAAUUUUGGACAAUGGGGGAAACCCUGAUCCAGCAAUGCCGCGUGUGCGAAGAAGGCCUUCGGGUUGUAAAGCACUUUUGUCAGGGAAGAAAUCCUUUGGGCUAAUACCCUAGGGGGAUGACGGUACCUGAAGAAUAAGCACCGGCUAACUACGUGCCAGCAGCCGCGGUAAUACGUAGGGUGCAAGCGUUAAUCGGAAUUACUGGGCGUAAAGCGUGCGCAGGCGGUUGUGUAAGACAGGUGUGAAAUCCCCGGGCUUAACCUGGGAAUUGCAUUUGUGACUGCACGACUAGAGUGUGUCAGAGGGGGGUGGAAUUCCACGUGUAGCAGUGAAAUGCGUAGAUAUGUGGAGGAACACCAAUGGCGAAGGCAGCCCCCUGGGAUAACACUGACGCUCAUGCACGAAAGCGUGGGGAGCAAACAGGAUUAGAUACCCUUGUAGUC